CCUACGGGAGGCAGCAGUGGGGGAUAUUGCACAAUGGGGGGAACCCUGAUGCAGCGACGCCGCGUGGGUGAAGAAGCGCCUCGGCGCGUAAAGCCCUGUCAGCAGGGAAGAAAAUGACGGUACCUGAAGAAGAAGCCCCGGCUAACUACGUGCCAGCAGCCGCGGUAAUACGUAGGGGGCAAGCGUUAUCCGGAUUUACUGGGUGUAAAGGGGGCGCAGACGGCGAUGCAAGCCAGGAGUGAAAGCCCGGGGGCCAACCCCGGGACUGCUCUUGGAACUGCGUGGAGGGAGUGCAGGAGGGGCAGGCGGAAGUCCUGGUGUAGCGGGGAAAUGCGUAGAUAUCAGGAGGAACACCGGUGGCGAAGGCGGCCUGCUGGACUGCAACUGACGUUGAGGCCCGAAAGCGUGGGGAGCAAACAGGAUUAGAUACCCGGGUAGUC
rnacentral:rRNA from 1 species